rnacentral:rRNA from 1 species
CCCUUAGAUGUUCUGGGCCGCACGCGCGCUACACUGAUGCAUUCAACGAGUCUAAAACCUGCUCUGAUAGGGGUGGGUAAUCUUUUGAAUGUGCAUCGUGAUUGGGAUAGAUGAUUGCAAUUUUUCAUCUUCAACGAGGAGUGCCUAGUAAACGCAAGUCAUCAGCUUGCAUUGAUUACGUCCCUGCCCUUUGUACACACCGCCCGUCGCUCCUACCGAUUGAAUGAUCCGAUGAAUAUCAUGGAUUGAGGAUUAUAGCAGGUUCGCCUGUCUUGAUCUUCGAGAAGUGAAGUAAAUCUUAUCAUUUAGAGGAAGGAGAAGUCGUAACA